UUUUGACACUGGUCUGUGUGAGUUCUCCUUAAGACAGAGGUUUAAAAGAACGGACAUCAGCCGACGGCCCAGUCCGGCCCCCUUCUGCCUGCCAUUGGCCGGCGGGCUCUGUCUGAUGCCCCCCCCCCCUCCCCCCACCCACAAAUUGGGCAGAAAGCAUGCGGUGUGCUAGCUGAGGGUGCGCGACUUCACAUGCUCAACAUGUUGCUCUUUAGAGAUGUAUGCCAGCUCUGUGUGUGUGUGUGUGUGUGUGUGUGUGUGUGUGUGUUUUCCCAAACCAGCACCUCAGGUAGCUCAAAAAAGGAGCGAUACUGAUUGACACUAGAAUCAAAACCAUGACAUGUAAUUAUAAAAAAAAAAAAUUCCCAUAACAGCGACUUUAAAGUCCUUCAUUAUCAUGUAAAUACUUACACCCCAGAAUGCUGCUGUAGUAUUGCUUUCAGUCUGGUGUAUGCUGAUACUUUAUUGACAACUUUAUACAUUUUUUCCAGUCAGAAAAAGAUACCUUGGAUAGACUUCAGUUGACUGGCCUGUGUGUUAUGCAGUCAUCUGACAGUCAGUCAUUUUUAUUUAUUCCAGAUUAUUUCAGUAUAUGUUUGAGAAUAUAGUGCUUUGUAUAUUCCAGUAACAACCCUCCGUAAACAUCACCAAACAGACGUGCAUAAAUUAUGUAUGCAAAUGAGAUAUACAAAAGAGUCCAAUUGAAAUUGAUAACGUAAUUAACGCACUGCAUCCUGUGGAUGCAGCGAGGUGCUAUGUAAGUUUUUCCGACUCCUGCCGUGUUCUGGGAUGAUGGCAAUAGCAGAUGUUAACCUUGCACUGAGAUGUUGUAAGCUGAGCGAUUGUUUACCAGACCGGGCUGCACUUUCUGUAUGAAGUGUGGCCAUUUGGCAUGUGAGCGGGGGAAAGCGGUGCUGUCAUGUAAAGCUGAGCACAUCGAUUACACCCGGAGACGCUGGAAGCACAGAAGAAGCUGGCAAAGUUCUGGGACACGUGAUGUGCUCGCUUUUCUUAUUUGUUGUUGUUGCCUAAUAUUCAAAAUGGCCAUUAUUUCAUAUGCUGAAACUGUCAAUAUUAUUUUAACCUUUUUAAAUAUGCGAUAUAAUUUGCAUUCUUAUAAUACCCUCUAAAAUUGAUAGAUUAAACUGUAUAUGUGUGUAUGCAGGUAUAAAGUAAUUGACAUGCUCUGAUCAUAUAUAAUUAUAUGAGGAGACAUUUAAAUGUGAUGCUUCCUUAUUAGUUGUUCAUUAUAAAUAUGUAUAGAUUCUGUUUGGGGAUUUUUAUUGCGCCAUGUACUGUUUUCCAUACACGAUAAGGAACAGAAAUAUGUUCUGGUGUAACCUGUGCUUUUCAGCACAUUUCUGAUAGAUUAUUUUGAACUAGUGCGUAUGCCUUUAUAUCUGCAUUCUUACAGAUCUGGAAAAAAUAAAUUUUGCUCUUAAUUUUUAGUUUCACUCAUUUAUGGGUCUGUGUAAAAUAUACAUUUUUUUUUCUGCUCCAGCCUGGCUCUUCCCUGCUUCUCAUUGAUGGACUUCUUCCUCGCCUUACUGGUUUUCAGUCCUGCUUCUAACAGCCUGUUAUGAAUUCUCACAAGGUCACUUUAGGUCAUCCUCAGAUUUAUGAGACGCCGGAUAAUAUGGCGUUCAUCUCUGGCAUUAUAAAGUUGCUUCUGCCCACUACCUGGCUGAUUUUUGGUUUUUCCCAGUGUCUCCUGCUUCACCUUGUUCUUGUGUACCGCUGUCUUAGAAACUUUGGGCCUGGAAGCAGCUGCCUCGUAGUGUAGCCUUCUGCUAGCAGAACCAGGAUUAAACCAGGAUUUGAAAUGCAGACUUUUUAAAAAUACAGUGGUUUCUUAAUUUUCUUCCUGAGCUGUAGGACGCGCGACAUUGAAUGCAGCAUCAGAUCAAUGGGUAAUGAUGACAAGCAGCCACAAGCCUCAAAAUUCACUGUAACAGUAGGUUUGUUAGACUGGUAACCAGCGAUAGUGAGUCUCGCAUCUUGCAGAGUCUGUUCUUUUCAUUAACAGGUAUGUAGACAAUUCAAGGAGCAAUGACCAUCACACGUAAUGGAUGAGCCUUGAAAAACUGUGGCAUUAACGGUUCUGUACUGCUGUUAAUGUUCCUUGCUUUUACAUCGUGACUGAGAGCUUGAGACUCGUGGUAAACAUUAAGCUUUACCCACAGUAGCAGCUAAGCAUGAAAACAUUUCCUCUUAUCUAUUCCAAGCACCAGUGUUCCAGUUAAUGCUUCUGUACGAUUGUGUUCUCAGCAGAAUCUCUUCCAUCCCAAAUCACGUUCCUCGUGUACAGACAUCAUCCCCCCCCCCCCCGAUCAAAUCCAAGCACCGCGACAAAAGCGAACAAGCUAAUACUUCAAGUUAUAUAACUGGAAACAUUCGCCCGUGAAACAUUGUUUCUUUCUGAAAUUACUUUUCACUUUCUCCCGUCCAAGAAAACAAAGAAAGAGCCAACAUUCCCUAAAGGGCCAAUAUCCGUCAAACUUUCUGCAGACCAGUUAAGAAAAUUGAUCCCCUCGUUGAGAACAAUGCGGCUGAGAUGUUUACGUUCUGUGUAUAUGUGAGUGUAUGAAAGCGUAAUCUGUAUGUCUGCUACACAUCGAGUUUCGCUACCCCUCCAAGGCUGCAGUGCCAGAAUCGGUGUCAUCCAAAGGUUUGUGGAACCUGCAGUGACUUAGAAAUCUAUGCUGAGAAGGCAGGUCCUCAAUCAGGGCCGAAUUUAAUGUGGGUGGGGAGCCCAGGGAUAAAGUAAUUCCUGGGGCCCUACUUACAGCAUAAAAUGCUGCAGUAACAACCAGGGAAAAAAAAUCGGAGACCAGAAAACUCGGAAUCAGGUUAAGGCGUGCAAGUGCGGUCUGGUCCUCAACGCCAAGCACCACUUUAGACUCAAACCCAUGCCACUUUGGCCUCAUCUGCAGUUCCUUUUGUUGCAGAAUGAAGAGGCUCCUGGGAGAGCUGCAUCCUGAAUACAGUUGCGCUGUCUUCUCUAGGCUGAUUCUGGUAAAUUCACUGCAGCCCACUGGAGGGCAUCAGCUAGGCCUGUGGGGGACCAUGCGAUUUAUUCUGCUGUAAGGCCAGGAAUAUGACCAUGAGAUAUGUUACCUGGUACAAUAGACGGGGCUUAAAUUUGGCUCCGCUUCUGAUGUCAUAAGCAGGAGGGGGGCAUAUCCUUUAUUCUGAUUGGUCGAGGGAUUAUUUCAAUAUAACAUACAUGUUUAUGCCACGUGUUGCCGAUAGGGGGGCAUAGGGCUUGAGAGAUAAGGGUUGCCGUUAAACUUUAAUAGAAUAAAAAUACAUUACAUAUAUUUACUAAUGUGUUUUUUUUAUUUAGUCUUUAAAGAAUAAUAAAAACAUAUAGCAGGAUGAAUAUAAGUGCAUAAACGUGCAGCGGGGGUCCGUCUGGCCGUAUCCACGGAUUGUUAGGAGUAGGCACAAGCGCCACGGCGUAUUUUAAAAGAGGAAAGCACCAAAAUGUUUUAAAGAAGGAAAACUUCUGCGUUAUUUUUUUUAAAAAAGAAAGAAAAGCAGGAGGAAUUUAAAGUACAAACAUGUCCGAAAGAAACAGAAAAACAAAUGCUGAGUUUAAACAAGCACAAGCAAAAUCAAUUAACAUACAGCAUGUCGUUUUAAAAGAAGGCAGCACUUAAACUCAUUACAUUUAACCAGCAUGUUAAAAGAAAAACUUUAGCGGUAUUUACCAGUGUUAGGCUGAAGAAAUCAUUUAACAGCAAACUUUUAGAAGAAAUAGCAUGAAAGGCGAAAUGAGCAAGUCCCGGAGGCCAUAUGCAGCUAGUCUGUUUGAACAACGCGGCUGAAACGAUAGACCGAAGUGACUGGCACUUGGCGCAUCCGCACUCACGCAGACAUCCCAUUUCAAAAUGGCGACACCAUCGGAGCGCCUGUUAUUUCAAAUAAAAACCUAUAACCAUAACGUUUUUAAAGUAAUGAAGCACUUUUCUGCCAAUGUGAAUAAUAAAGUAAAACGCUCUAAGCAUUUCGACAGCAACAAUCAAGGAAUAACGCGGUUAAUUCUUGUUUAACUGAACGCAUGCGCUCUGUCUCUCUCUGGCUCGCACUCAUGUGGCGCAUGCAUGUAGACCCACAGAGUAUUUUCUUUAAAGAGCCAACUCGUUGCGUCAAGCAGCUGUCAAAUUGGAAACAACAUGGCUACCAGCAGAAAUUGUUGUCGUGAUGCUAACCAAUCGCCCCGGAUUGUGAGAAGCACGCCACCAUCCUGACAGAAUGCACAUUAGUAAGUAGUAUAAAAUGGUCUAUUUCUAAUUUAAAUAAAAGUCGAGCUCUAACACCACAGCCCCUGAAUGUUUAGCUACAUUUAGCUAAAUUUAUCUACGUCUGGUUAAUCAAAAGGAAUAACGCACUAUAACUUGAAACAACCCUUUAUUUAUCGACGAUCAACUUACGACGCAAAGAUGGAAAUGCUAAACUGGAGGUAUGUUAAAUUUCUUUCACCGUAUUUUAGAAUUGUUUGAAUUGUCGCUACUGUGAAAACAUUACGAUUAUUUUUGACCCAGAAUUUUCCACGAUGUCAAGCUCGAGUAAGCCCUGUGAAACAGAGGAUUGGAAUAUUAAUAAUCGUGAAGGGUCUGCCCCCGACAAGUUAGCCAUAAGCGGAAAAGAACGGAUAGUUUUAACGCUGAAAAAAUUGAAGCAACGGCAACAACCUCAACUGACAGCAUACAGUGCGAGCCGGACAGCCAACUGAAAUCUACACGACCAGAGGCUCCCACAACAGGAAGCAUGACACCGGACCAAGGGGGCUCUGGAAGGAAACGUCCGACGAGGAAGUGCUUCCCGAGGAAACUGGCUGCACACCUCUUCGGGACCGUGAGUGAGAUGAGGACCUCGGGAUUAAUCCCGUCUGUGCCGGGCUCGUCCGCGUUCCAGCCUUCGACAGAGGUGGUGGUGAGCAGAGAAAGGACCGCAGCUGCCCGUCCAGAUGUCCAGCACCCCUAAGCCCUGGAGAUUGGUGUGUUACCUGAUGGUAUCCUAGGUCAGUGAUUCUCAACCUGGGGCACUGCGGCCCACUGGAGGGCAUCAGCUAGGCCUGUGGAGGACCAUGCGAUUUAUUUGAAAAGUGAAGAAAAAAUAUGACAUUGCUGAAGAAACCCAAAGAGCUUCACAGAAGGAAUGGGGAGCCACUUCGACCACCAGCACCCACCUGGAUGAUGCACCCCCAGCAGCCAUUCUAAGCCAGUAUGCUCACCACGGUAGCUAAGGUUCGCUAAUAGUAGAGUUAGAUAUAGAGGAUGAUUAUAUGAGAUAUAGGUGGCCCUAGCUUUGAAAGGGCCACCGUGGACAGUUUUAGCCAGGACAUCGGGGUACCACCCCUACUCUUUCGAGAGAUGGGUCUUUAAUGACCUCAGAGAGUCAAGACCUCGUUUUUACAGCACCAUGUUUACUGCACUGGGAUCCCCUCAGACCACAUGAUGGGCUCCCCCUACUGGCCACACCAACGCCUCUUCCAGCAACAUCCCAGCUUUCCUGUUUGGUUUCCCAUCGAAGUACUGGUCAGGCCCAAACCUGCUUAGCUUCAGAUGUAUGACUUACUCUGAACUGCAGGUGAUAUGGCUGUUGACAUACUUGGUUCACUUCAAUUGAAACAUUUAGACAUGUUACAAACUGUGAUAUUUUUAUUUUGUUAAAGGUCUUUUCAUUUAAGCGCCUGUUUAAUGUUUGUCAAGUUUCUGAGUUUACAGCCAUUUGCCAAGUAGGUUUUAAAUUUACUUUUUUUGUUCAUAAACAUUCACCCUUUGUUUUGAAAACAAUAUCACAAACUGAGGGGGGAAAUCAGUGCUGGAAUGGUGGACAUAGUGGAAUCACGUUCAAAAGAAAUUACAUUGUUUGGCAGUGUAACCAAAUUAAAUUGUAUUAAUAAACAA